UUUUAUGGGGUGACUGCGUACCUUUUGUAUAAUGGGUCAGCGACUUAUAUUCUGUAGCAAGGUUAACCGAAUAGGGGAGCCGGAGGGAAACCGAGUCUUAAUUGGGCGUUAAGUUGCAGGGUAUAGACCCGAAACCCGGUGAUCUAGCCAUGGGCAGGUUGAAGGUUGGGUAACACUAACUGGAGGACCGAACCGACUAAUGUUGAAAAAUUAGCGGAUGACCUGUGGCUGGGGGUGAAAGGCCAAUCAAACCGGGAGAUAGCUGGUUCUCCCCGAAAGCUAUUUAGGUAGCGCCUCGUGAAUUCAUCUCCGGGGGUAGAGCACUGUUUCGGCUAGGGGGCCAUCCCGGCUUACCAACCCGAUGCAAACUGCGAAUACCGGAGAAUGUUAUCACGGGAGACACACGGCGGGUGCUAACGUCCGUCGUGAAGAGGGAAACAACCCAGACCGCCAGCUAAGGUCCCAAAGUCAUGGUUAAGUGGGAAACGAUGUGGGAAGGCCCAGACAGCCAGGAUGUUGGCUUAGAAGCAGCCAUCAUUUAAAGAAAGCGUAAUAGCUCACUGGUCGAGUCGGCCUGCGCGGAAGAUGUAACGGGGCUAAACCAUGCACCGAAGCUGCGGCAGCGACGCUUAUGCGUUGUUGGGUAGGGGAGCGUUCUGUAAGCCUGCGAAGGUGGCCUGUGAGGGUUGCUGGAGGUAUCAGAAGUGCGAAUGCUGACAUAAGUAACGAUAAAGCGGGUGAAAAGCCCGCUCGCCGGAAGACCAAGGGUUCCUGUCCAACGUUAAUCGGGGCAGGGUGAGUCGACCCCUAAGGCGAGGCCGAAAGGCGUAGUCGAUGGGAAACGGGUUAAUAUUCCCGUACUUGGUGUUACUGCGAAGGGGGGACGGAGAAGGCUAUGUUGGCCGGGCGACGGUUGUCCCGGUUUAAGCGUGUAGGUGUGUGUUCCAGGUAAAUCCGGUUCACUUUAACACUGAGGCGUGACGACGAGGCACUACGGUGCUGAAGCAACAAAUGCCCUGCUUCCAGGAAAAGCCUCUAAGCAUCAGGUAACAUCAAAUCGUACCCCAAACCGACACAGGUGGUCAGGUAGAGAAUACCAAGGCGCUUGAGAGAACUCGGGUGAAGGAACUAGGCAAAAUGGUGCCGUAACUUCGGGAGAAGGCACGCUGACACGUAGGUGAAGUGAUUUACUCAUGGAGCUGAAGUCAGUCGAAGAUACCAGCUGGCUGCAACUGUUUAUUAAAAACACAGCACUGUGCAAACACGAAAGUGGACGUAUACGGUGUGACGCCUGCCCGGUGCCGGAAGGUUAAUUGAUGGGGUCAGCGCAAGCGAAGCUCCUGAUCGAAGCCCCGGUAAACGGCGGCCGUAACUAUAACGGUCCUAAGGUAGCGAAAUUCCUUGUCGGGUAAGUUCCGACCUGCACGAAUGGCGUAAUGAUGGCCAGGCUGUCUCCACCCGAGACUCAGUGAAAUUGAACUCGCUGUGAAGAUGCAGUGUACCCGCGGCAAGACGGAAAGACCCCGUGAACCUUUACUAUAGCUUGACACUGAACAUUGAGCCUUGAUGUGUAG
rnacentral:rRNA from 1 species